rnacentral:rRNA from 1 species
GUCUUUUGCGCACUUCUUGUUUCCUGGGCGGGUUCGCCCGCCACCAGGACCCAACCAUAAACCUUUUUGUAAUUGCAAUCAGCGUCAGUAAACAAUGUAAUUAUUACAACUUUCAACAACGGAUCUCUUGGUUCUGGCAUCGAUGAAGAACGCAGCGAAAUGCGAUACGUAGUGUGAAUUGCAGAAUUCAGUGAAUCAUCGAAUCUUUGAACGCACAUUGCGCCCUUUGGUAUUCCAAAGGGCAUGCCUGUUCGAGCGUCAUUUGUACCCUCAAGCUUUGCUUGGUGUUGGGCGUCUUGUCUCUCGCGAGACUCGCCUUAAAAUGAUUGGCAGCCGACCUACUGGUUUCGGAGCGCAGCACAAUUCUUGCACUUUGAAUCAGCCCUGGUUGAGCAUCCAUCAAGACCACAUUUUUUUAACUUUUGACCUCGGAUCAGGUAGGGAUACCCGCUGAACUUAAGCAUAUCAAUAAGCGGAGGAAUCUUGCUGAAAAACUCGAGCCAUCCGGAAGAUCUGGCGGCCGCUCUCCCUAUAGUGAGUCGUAUUACGCCGGAUGGAUAUGGUGUUCAGGCACAAGUGUUAAAGCAGUUGAUUUUAUUCACUAUGAUGAAAAAAACAAAUGAAUGGAACCUGCUCCAAGUUAAAAAUAGAGAUAAUACCGAAAACUCAUCGAGUAGUAAGAUUAGAGAUAAUACAACAAU